UCCCUCCCUCUCUCUCUCUCUCCCUCCCUCCCUCCCUCCCUCCCUCCCUCUCCCCGAAUCUCUGAAUUGUCGCUCUCUGUUCACUUAUAUACAGAGAUUUGAUUCUCUGAAUCCAAACAGAGAAAGCCAAGAUCUGUACCAUGGUGGGAAGAUUGUGUAGAUGCUUUCGAAUUGAUGGGGAUCCACUGCACUACUCAGAGAAAGCCAAGAUCUGUACCAUGGUGGGUAGAUUGUGUAGAUACUUUCGAAUUGAUGGGCAUCCACCGCACUACUCAGAGAAAGCCAAGAUCUGUAUCAUGGUGUGUAGAUUGUGUAGAUACUUUAGAAUUGAUGGGGAUCCACAGCACUACUCAGGUAAAAUAAAUGGUUCGCCUCUCAAAAAAUUUAUUCCUUUUUACUUGAAUCGGCUGGAAUCCUAUGUAUUGUUUAUGGCUUUGGUAUUGUCUGGACUUUAGGUGUUUGAUGUGUUUUAUUUUUUGGGGUUUUAGUCUGGGUCUGCAAUUUUAAAUUAGGGUUUUGUCUCUUUGAUGUCAGGGAUGAAGUGGUUGGGGAGGUUAAAUGAAUUGGAUGAAAAAUGGUGACUGAUUUGGGGCUGGUUGGUGAGGGUUCUUAAAUCUCAGCAAUAGGGGUUCUAGACAUAAAUGAAGAGGGUUGGGUUUGGUGCUUGUUUGGUGACCCUCAUAACUAUUAUAUGAAUGAGACAAAUUGAAUUUUUUUUUUCUGCUACUUUGUGUGUGUGUAUUGUGUGUAACAUUGUGAACAAGAUGACAACUUCAGGGAAUAGCUAGGUUAACUAAAAAAACUUAGUAAAAUAACAUGUUGAAUUUACCAUUGCAAAUCUAAAUCUUUUCACUAUGAGGAUUCAUCAUGGAGGGAGAUUUCAUAGUGAGAAUGGCCUAAAUAGUAUUUGCAGAGAGGGCCAAUUGAUCUUUGUUGAUAGAGUAUACUCGGACAAGGUGUUUUUGACAGGGAUACACCACUGGACUUAUGAUUUGGGGUACCAGAUGGGGCCAAGUCAAUUCUGGUUUAGAAUUCCUGGUAGUGAGGAGGGGACUAGGUAUCUGCCUAUAUGUAUUGAUCAAGAGGCAAUUGAGAUGUGUCACUAUGUAUCUCCAAGGUCCAAGUAUUUGGACUUGUAGAUAGUUUGUACAAGUGAAAGGAGGAUUUUUACUGUUAGAGACUAUGCUCAGUUUGAAGAAAAUCUUAACCUUGUUAUGUUCAUUGGCUGAUGGAUUGAAGAUGUGGAAGAAAGGCCCCAUGUUACAACUGAUGAUGAGGAGGAGGAAGGAUCUUUGGGGGCUGAGGACAUGUGUGAUGCUCAAGAGACUAUUUUUGUGGACUUGGAUGACAUAGGUGAUGAGCCCAGGACUGAAACAAUCAAUGCAAAUGGAAAUAGAAAUGGGCCUGACUAAGGUGUGGAUGGACAUGGGCUUCAAAAACAUGAUGCACAUGGGCCUGAGCAAAAUGAGGAUGGACAUAGGCCCAAUGUUAAUGAUGUUGAGGCAUCCGUGACUGAGGCAGAAGUGGAAAGAGUAAAAGAGAAUGGUAAAGCUAUGGUUCAAGAAGAAGACACUCCAUCUGCAAAGAAGAAUAAGAGCAGAAAAAGGAAAGAGGUGCAGAGGAGAUAUGCUACUAGGUCUGGAGAUUAGAGUUCAAGGAGGUAAUUUGUUCCUAAUGUGGAUGUCUCCUCUAAAAGCACAACAAAAUCUAAAGACUCAAAUUUUGAAGGCAUAGUCGAUUCAGAUUAUGACCUGAACAGUGAAGAUGAUGAUGUGGAAUUUCAGCAGAAUGUAGAUGGUGACAGUAGCAGAGUAAAUAAGUUUGAUGAGAUGGGGUUCGAGGGGGAUAUAUCUAAUGAAGCUGGGAGUGAUUCUAAAGGAUUACAUAGUCUGCAUAGAUUCUUAGGUGAGGAGGAUGAAGACAAAGGGAAGUUCCCUGUUAAGUGCAAGAGAAGAUACAGUGAAUGGAGGGAGUUCAAGCAUAAGGAGGACAUGAAGAGACCUACUUUUGAGCUAGGAAUGGAGUUUCCAAACUCCAAGGUGUUUAAGAGUUUAACUAGGAAGCAUGCAGUUCAAACAAGAAAUGAGAUUAGGUUUCCGACAAACACAAGACACAAGUGUUGGCAAGGUGCAAGACGUCUCCUGGUUAUCCUUGGAGGAUCUAUGCCUCUACCACUGACUUGGAUAAUCCCACCAUUUUCAUCAAGACUCUGAGGCAAGAGCACAAGUGUGCUUCUUUUGGGAAAGAAAAAAAAAAAAAGCCUAUGAUAUGCAUGCACCUUUUAUUGUUGAAGAGUACCAGGAUUUUUUCAUGAGUGAUCCCAAUUGGUCAAGAAAAGGGAUGCAGAAUGCAAUCAACAAGGAUGUUGAAAUGGAGUUGGACUAUCAGAUGUGUUACAGAGUAAGGGUGAAGACACUUAAGCUUGCACAAGGGAGCCAUGCAGGUCAGUACAAUUUAUUAGAGAGCUAUGCUCAUGAACUUAAGAAGAGGAAUCCAAGUCGAAGCUCUGUGUGGAUUCACACUGAAUUGGAUGUUGAAGUUAUAAGGUUCAAAAGGAUCUACAUAUGGAUGGCUACAUUGAAGAAAGGUUGGGGGGGAGAGGUGCAGACCCUAUAUAGGGUUAGAUGGGUGCCAUUUGAAAUCAGUUCAUAAGGUCCAGUUGCUUUCAGCUUGGGGGAUUGAUAGGAAUAAUGGGAUUUAUCCAACUGCAUGGGAAAUUGUGGAAGCAGAAUCAAGAGAGACAUGGACAUCGUUUCUGGAAUUCUUGAAGGUUGAUUUGGAUAUACAUCAUAGCACUCAUUACACAUUCAUGAGUGACAAGCAAAAUGGGCUUGAGCAGGCUAUAAAUGAGUUAUUUCCAUAUGCUGCACACAGGCAUUGUGUGAGACAUCUUCACAAUAACUUCAAAUCAAAUGGACAUCAAGGUUUGCAAUCUCUCUCUCAUUACUUGCUAACUUUUCUUGUGAUUGAUCCUAAUUGUUUGUAACAGUUGUCUGUAUUCCUUUUUGUAAAACUUAAACUGUGGGCUAUUGUUAGAAGCUGCAUAAUGAAUCAAUUCAGGGAUGCUUUGGAGGAUAUGAAUAAAAGCUCACUAUCUAGUUGGAAAUGGUGCAUGGACAAACCUACACAGCAUUGGUCAAAGUCACACUUUGAUCCUAAAUACAAGUGUGAUAUUCUAUUAAACAACCAUUCUGAGAAUUUUAACAAAAGAAUCCUACCAGCUAGGAAGAAGCCCAUACUUAGUUGUUUGGAAGACAUCAGAGCUGCCACAAUGGUGAGGUUAACUAAUAGAAGACAAUCUGGCCCUAAUUGGAGGUGUAAUGUUGGGCCCAGAAUUGAGAAACAACUCAAGAAGCAUGCAUAUAUUAGCCAUGAUUACAGAGUUAUCAAUUCAAGUAAUAACAUUUUUGAGAUUCAAAGCAGAGGUGUAGCAUGUGCAAGUGAUGUGGUGGCUGCACAUUCAGUCUCAUUAGAAGUAAGGACAUGCACAUGUAAGAGAUGGAACAUUUCUAGGGUACCAUGUGGGCAUGCAAUGGCUGCAAUUCAUUCUAAAGGGUUGAGGCUUGAUGAUUUUGUGCAUGAAUAUUUCACCAAGGACACCUACAUGAAGGCUUAUGACCCCAUUAUGUUCCCAAUAGCUGGAGUGGCUGAGUGGGACAAGAUACAUAGGCCAAUUGCACCUUAUCUUUAUAGGAGUCAACCUGGAGGCUCAAAAUGUCAAGGAGCAAAGAACCUGGUCACUUGUGGAAUAUGUAAGAAGAAUGGCCACAAUAGGAGGACAUGCAACAUGAGAAAUCAAGUAUGGUUAUCAAUUUCAUUUUGUAGGUUCACAGCUGAUGUGAUUGGGAAAGUUAAAUUAUGUGUUGGGAGUUUGAUGUGUUUUUGGAAUUGCAACAAGGUGAGAAUGUGCAGCAGCAGGUAAAUGAGGGAGUGCAGCAGCAGGAAGAUGAGGGUGUGCGGCAACAAGAUCCUUAGGUUGGCAAUGGUGUCCAGGAGCAGCACAAUCAGCAUGUGGAGCCAUAAGUUUCUCAGAAUGUGCAAGACUCCCAACCAGCUUAUGUGCCAAGUCAGCAAUCACAGACUACUAAUAUAGCUUCAGGAAGCUCCUCUAGACUUGGUUUCACAGACAGAAGGUAAAAGCUCUUGCUCACAAAAAACUUAGACCAGCAAAUGCCCCUACAUCACCAAACAAUGAAUCUGAAUAAAGUUUUAGAUCAAAAUGUAGUUGCUGGGCCCCCCAUGAGUUCUUAACCAACCAAUACUUAGUCCCAUCAUCAAUGAUGCCAUAGCCAACAGCAGUAACACCAUGGUCUAGGCUUGUUCCACAAGUUCCUGUGAAAACACCACUUGAAUAGAAUUGGAAAUAAGAACCACUAGCAUCAAUGGCAACGGAAAUGGGUUGAUUAGCUACAGCCUUAAGAAGGGCACUUUCACUAUUUGCAGGCACAUCUUCGUGACCAGUUAUCGAGGCUGCAUGGCUUGCUUCCUUCUAGGUAUUGCAUGUACCAUCAACACCGGUAUAGGGGUAAUUAGCCUCAGGAUUAUGUCCAUGAUUUUGAUUGAUGAACUCAAAGGCAUUGUCCAUCAAGCCACCCUCACAACCUUGGUCUUCACCAUUCACAUCACAGUCAACCAGCUCUUUCUUGGACAAAGAGAUAAGUUUACCUGUAGUAAGUGGAGUGAUUCCUUCCAUGGCUGCCACUGCUGAAAAUGCCCAACAGCAUCCUGUAUAUAGAGAUGACAAAUUCUUACUAGUUGGACUUGUUGAAGGAUAUCGACAUAAUGUGUGCCUCUACAAACUAGGGUUUAGAGUUGUAAUAGGAAUGUGUUCUAGGUAUUCAAUUGUAAUCAAAUUCUAUUA